rnacentral:rRNA from 1 species
AGUCACUGACAUUAGAUACCCCCGUAGUCCAGGGUGUAAACGCUGCAGACUUGGUGUUGGGAACCCUUCGGGGGUGCUCAGUGCCGGAGAGAAGUUGUUAAGUCUGCUACUUGGGAGUACGUCCGCAAGGAUGAAACUUAAAGGAAUUGGGCGGGGGAGCACCGCAACGGGAGGAGCGUGCGGUUUAAUUGGAUUCAACGCCGAAAACUCACCAGCAGCGACUGUUACAUGAAAGUCAGGUUGAUGACCUUACUAGAUUUUCAG